UAACUUAUUUCACUCAGCAUAAUAGAUGCUUUCUUUACACUGACUAUAUAGAAAGAGGAGGUACAGUAAAUGCAUUCUAUAUACACCUCAACCCAGGCCCUUUGCCUGGUGUGCAUUGUGAAUUGGGGGACACAC